GAUGAACGCUGGCGGCGUGCCUAAUACAUGCAAGUCGAGCGAACAGACGAGGAGCUUGCUCCUCUGACGUUAGCGGCGGACGGGUGAGUAACACGUGGAUAACCUACCUAUAAGACUGGGAUAACUUCGGGAAACCGGAGCUAAUACCGGAUAAUAUAUUGAACCGCAUGGUUCAAUAGUGAAAGACGGUUUUGCUGUCACUUAUAGAUGGAUCCGCGCCGCAUUAGCUAGUUGGUAAGGUAACGGCUUACCAAGGCAACGAUGCGUAGCCGACCUGAGAGGGUGCUCGGCCCCACUGGAACUGAGACACGGUCCAGACUCCUACGGGAGGCAGCAGUAGGGAAUCUUCCGCAAUGGGCGAAAGCCUGACGGAGCAACGCCGCGUGAGUGAUGAAGGUCUUCGGAUCGUAAAACUCUGUUAUUAGGGAAGAACAAAUGUGUAAGUAACUAUGCACGUCUUGACGGUACCUAAUCAGAAAGCCACGGCUAACUACGU
rnacentral:rRNA from 1 species